GCGGCGUGCUUACACAUGCAAGUCGAACGAAGAGACCUGGAAGCUUGCUUCUAGCGAUCUUAGUGGCGAACGGGUGAGUAACGCGUAACCAACCUGCCCUUUAGAGGGGGAUAACAACGGGAAGCCGUUGCUAAUACCGCGUACGCUCACUUCUCGGCAUCGGGAAGUGAGGAAAGGUGGCCUCUAUUUAUAAGCUAUCGCUAAAGGAGGGGGUUGCGUCUGAUUAGCUAGUUGGAGGGGUAGCGGCCCACCAAGGCAAUGAUCAGUAGCCGGUCUGAGAGGAUGAACGGCCACAUUGGGACUGAGACACGGCCCAGACUCCUACGGGAGGCAGCAGUGGGGAAUCUUCCGCAAUGGACGAAAGUCUGACGGAGCAACGCCGCGUGAGUGAUGAAGGUUUUCGGAUUGUAAAGCUCUGUUAAUCGGGACGAAUGGUUUCUAUGUAAAUAAUGUAGGGAUUUGACGGUACCGGAAUAGAAAGCCACGGCUAACUACGUGCCAGCAGCCGCGGUAAUACGUAGGUGGCAAGCGUUGUCCGGAAUUAUUGGGCGUAAAGCGCGCGCAGGCGGAUUUGUCAGUCUGUCUUAAAAGUUCGGGGCUUAACCCCGUGAGGGGAUGGAAACUACAAAUCUAGAGUAUCGGAGAGGAAAGUGGAAUUCCUAGUGUAGCAGUGAAAUGCGUAGAUAUUAGGAAGAACACCGGUGGC
rnacentral:rRNA from 1 species